AUUGAACGCUGGCGGCAGGCCUAACACAUGCAAGUCGAGCGGAUGAAGGGAGCUUGCUCCUGGAUUCAGCGGCGGACGGGUGAGUAAUGCCUAGGAAUCUGCCUGGUAGUGGGGGAUAACGUCCGGAAACGGGCGCUAAUACCGCAUACGUCCUGAGGGAGAAAGUGGGGGAUCUUCGGACCUCACGCUAUCAGAUGAGCCUAGGUCGGAUUAGCUAGUUGGUGGGGUAAAGGCCUACCAAGGCGACGAUCCGUAACUGGUCUGAGAGGAUGAUCAGUCAAAGUGUGAAUGAGGAACGGUGCAGAGGAAUAAGGAGAGCAGCAGGGGGGAAGAUUGGACAAUGGGGUCAAGUUUGAUAGCGAGAUGUGUGGUGAGUGAAGAAAGUAUUAUGAUUGGUAACUAAUUCAAGGUGGGAGAAAGGAAAGGAAGUGAAUAACGUGCUGGGAGGAGGUGCGGAAAAGAAGAGGAGAAGGCGAGUUUGGUG
rnacentral:rRNA from 1 species